UGCCAAGGAAAUGGCUGAGCUUCGGUUAAUCUAAGCGCUUAGAUUGCGUUGAGUGCAAUUUGGCGAAAGCACUUUUGCCCCCCUCCCCCCAGCUUAGGGGGCUGUGAUAACUUGCUAUGCACAGGUGUCUAUCGGGUGGGGGCGGGCAGAGGGUAUGUAAUUACAAAUUUGGGUGCCUUGGUGCUUUUGAGUGAUGGGGUCCAUCCUAAGGACACCCCGAUUUCCUUCUUGGUCACUGCUUGUGGAAAUGUAAAUUUAUUGGAUCUGGCUGCUUCAUCGUAUCUGCAACGGCUUGAUCUACAAGUUCAUGUUUGUUAGGAGCGUUCUCCGAGAUGAUGGGUGUGAUGGAGGGCGGGGUGUUAUUGCCUGAACAGGCCUGUAUGCAGACUUGAAUUAUGCUUGGCUAGUUCAAUCAGAAUCAGGAGUCCAAGCUAAGGGUAGUGUUAAGGAAAUGGGAGCUUCAAAUCGAACGACCAGUCCAACGCUGGAAUGUCCCGUGUGAUUGAUUCGAACUCGGAACCUGUAGAUGUCAGAAUGCAGGCUGGGAGGCGCGAGGCACUUCAGGAGCUCAAAGAUAACAGCGAGGGGAAGUGGUGGCAGAUGGAGAAUUUGGAAAUUUGUCUGCUCAACUAGAAGCCUGGGGAUGAGCUCACUUCUAGUUCUGGGUUUUUUACAACCACAUAGGAUCUCCCAUGUUCUUGGAGUUGUGUAGGCACAGUAACUCUUUCCUCAUUCAUGUCAUUUGGGGAUUUAUUUUUAAACCAUCCUCCUUGUUUUGUGUAGAUAUUUUAACAAAGGCGGACCAUUUUUAAAAUAAUAAUAAUAAUAAUAAUAAUAAUAAUAAUGAAAAGUUGUGUUUACUGCUGGGAUAUGACGGGUAUUUUGUAAGAAGAAAUCGAAUUGCAUUGUAAGCUUUAACAAGAAAAUGGUGGAAAUGCAGUAUUUUUUAUUAUGACGGAAAAUCUGUUCCCUGUCCUUCCUCCUCCAGGUGUCUGUAGCGGUGGGGUUGUAUCCUGACCCAGGCACUGUGGUGCUCGAAUUGACUUCCAUUUCCCAUUCUUUUCUAUGAUCCUGGAGUGCAGAUCUAUCAAGGAAAAGGCUUGGGGACACCUCCAGGUUGCCUUUGCCACGGGUGCUGGGGGAAACCGGUGUUUAACGAAGCCACGAUCCUAGGCACCUACGCUUGGAAAUAAACCCUACUGAACUCAGUAGUGCUUACUUCUGAGUAGAAAAGCCUAGAAUUGGACUGCACCCAUUUUAAAAGAACAACCUUAAAUCAGCCACUAGACUGAAAAGCGGCAGAAGUGGGUUAUCCCUCGAAAACAGGUGGGCAGCUGAUGACCUUCCAUAUUUUGGGGCCUACAACUCCCGUCAGCCAUCAGAGCCACUGGUGAUAGUAGGGUGACCAUUUGAAAAGGAGGACAGGGCUCCUGAAAAGGGCAUUUCAGCAGGUGCCAAUUGUAUGCAUGCGGCAUCUGGUGAAAUGCCCUCUUCAUCACCACAGUUAAAGCUGUAGGAGCUAUAGUACAGUGAGCAGAUACAAAAGAGGGCAGGGCUCCUGCAGCUUUAACUAUUGUGAUGAAGAGGAAAUUUCACGCAAACAAAUAACACCAGCUGAAAUUCCCUUCUCUAUGCAACUUAAAGAUACAGGAGCCUGGUCCUCCUUUCCAUAGGGUCACCCUAGUAGAUGGCAGUUGUAAGCCAAAACAUCUGGAAGGACACAAGUUCUCCACCCCUGCCCUAAAAGGCGUAUAAAUGACGCAUUUAUUUUCUUUUUGUACUUUAAUAGAGCUCCUGGACUAAAAUCUAGCACCUCUGUCUCUUGAGUGCUGCAUCUGCGUGUUGCUGUGUGCUGUAAAUGAGAUUAAAAAUUGUAUCGCCUCUCCCGGUCUAUUUUUGACAAGCACUGAAUCUUGAUGUGUUUCCCCGCCGCCCCCAUUAUACUGUUUUUAAAUAAAGCAAAAAGGAUGUGUUCAA